AUAAAAAAAAAAUAAUAAAAAAAAGUUUCAGAAGACAACUUCACUUUCUAAGCUUAACCAAAAGAGUGCUACUUUUAUGUCUUGGCUUUUACACCUUGCUGCUAAACAAGCCCCCAGUUGCAUAGAUCAAUCUCAGAUUAUAAGAAAUUGAUUUUGAUAACCAUGUAAGGAUAUCUUUGUAGGUUUACUUGGAAGUUCAAUGGCUAGCAUGGGAUUUUGGACAGUUAAUGGUUGGGAUUUAGUUGGGGUACAUCUUGUAAUAUAGGGGCCUUACUUAGUUUUCAAUUUAAGCUGAUGAGGAAUAGAGCUUGUGUCAUUUCAGUGUGCUUUCUGGAAUGGGAUAGUUUGAUCAAUAGCUGUUUAUUCCACAUACCGUUUGUGGUUCUUUAUUGAACUCCAUUUUGUAUAAUAUCAUGCCCAUUGUUUUUGUGUGUAAGCAGCUAUACAUCAUGAAUUGAUCAGAGUUGUCAUAUAUUUCAUUUGAUUGCUUCUUGUUCUUCAGUUGGUAGAAUUAGUGUUGGAA
rnacentral:misc_RNA from 1 species